rnacentral:rRNA from 1 species
UACCCGCAGCACAAGUGGUGGUCAUUAUUAUUGGGCCUAAAGCGUCCGUAGCUGGCCUGUUAGAUGCCUGGGUAAAUCGAUGCGCUCAACGCAUCGAACUCCGGGUAGACCGGCAGGCUUGGGACCGGGAGAGGCGUGAGCUACUCGGGGGGUAGGGGUAAAAUCCUGUAAUCCUCCGGGGAGGACCAGUGGCGAAGGCGUCGACGCUAGAACGGCUCCGACAGUGAGGGACGAAGCCCUGGGGCGCAAACCGG